ACGCCCGGUCCCAUUCCGAACCCGGAAGCUAAGGCCACCUGCGCCGAUGGUACUGCACUCGACAGGGUGUGGGAGAGUAGGACACCGCCGGAA
rnacentral:rRNA from 1 species